rnacentral:rRNA from 1 species
ACGGAGGGUGCGAGCGUUAAUCGGAUUUAAUGGGCGUAAAGCGUGCGUAGGUGGCCUAUUAAGCCAGACGUGAAAGCCCUGGGCUCAACUGGGGAACUGCGUUUGGAACUGCUUGGCUUGAGUCCGAGAGAGGAUGGUGGAAUUCCGGGUGUAGGAGUGAAAACCGUAGAUAUCAGGAGGAACACCGGUGGCGAAGGCGGCCGACUGGAUAAGUACUGACGCUGAGGUACUAAAGCGUGGCGAGCAAACAG